UACGUAGGCAGCGAGCGUUGUUCGGAGUUACUGGGCGUAAAGGGUGUGUAGGCGGUUCUUUAAGUUUGGUGUGAAAUCUCCCGGCUCAACCGGGAGGGUGCGCCGAAUACUGAGGGACUAGAGUAUGGGAUGGGAAAGUGGAAUUCCUGGUGUAGCGGUGAAAUGCGUAGAUAUCAGGAGGAACACCUGUGGUGUAGACGGCUUUCUGGACCAUAACUGACGCUGAGGCGCGAAAGCUAGGGGAGCAAACAGG
rnacentral:rRNA from 1 species